UACAGAGGGGGCAAGCGUUAUUCGGAAUUAUUGGGUCGUAAGGGCGCGUAGGCGGCUUGGCAAGUGGAUGGUGAAAGUCCCCACGGCUUAACCUGGGAACUGACAUCCGAUACUCGGAUGGCUUGAAUCCGGGAGAGGGAUGCAGAAUUCCAGGUGUAGCGGUGAAAUGACGUAGAUAUCUGGAGGAAUACCGGUGGCGAAGGCGGCAUCCUGGACUGCAACUGACACCGAGGAACGAAAGCCAGGG
rnacentral:rRNA from 1 species